CGGAGAGACCUGGCUGCUGUGUCCCGCGGCUUGCGCUCCGUAGUGGACUCCGCGGGCCUUCGGCAGAUGCAGGCCUGGGGUAGUCUCCUUUCUGGACUGAGAAGAGAAGAAUGGAGAAGCCCCUCUUCCCAUUAGUGCCUUUGCAUUGGUUUGGCUUUGGCUACACAGCACUGGUUGUUUCUGGUGGGAUCGUUGGCUAUGUAAAAACAGGAAUCUAGAAAACUGUAUCUGAAGUUGUUCCUACCUGAAGCCGUUGCAUUGAGAGGUGCUAAGUGGAUCCUCUGGCCAGCUGACUGCACUUCUUUUUUGAGAAAGGAAGGAAUAUAUCCUGACUGAUUGUGGGCCACAUCCAAUCAGUGGAAGGUCUUAAGAGCAAAAACUGAGGUUCCUCAGAGAAGAAGGAAAUGUUUUAAGACUUCAGCAUCAAUUCCUGCCUGAGUUUCUAGCCUGCUGGCCUGCUCUACAAAUUUCAAGCUUGCUAGCCCUCACAAUCACAUGAAUAAAUUCCUUAAA
rnacentral:lncRNA from 1 species